CAGCCUUACGUAUUUAUGAAAAUAUAAUGUUAAAGACGCCACUAUCUACUUGAAUGAAGGUUUCAUAAACGCUAUCUAUCCAUUAUCGCCGUCUGUUUAUAUGUGUGUGCGGAAACACACAGCUCCGACCAGUCCCUCCUUCAAUAUCAGCUUUCACCCGGCGACUGGUGCUUUUUGUGCCUCCUGUGUGAGCGUGAGGGAGGGAGCAUAUCCUACACACACCAGAUGAGUGUCCGUAGAGGGGGGCAGUGGGUCUGUUUCCGUCUCCAAAUCGGCGGUGCUCCAGGCGACACCGUAUCCGGACUCGGGCUUCCUAUCCCAGGCUGUGUCGGCGAGCCGCCCGAGCUCCCAGCAUGCUUCCCAGCCGUAAUGGCCGCUUCUGUCCGAGGCUUUGCGGUCUCUGCCUCUGCCUCUGUGUGAGUGUGAAUGUGAAUGUUUCUCUCCUUCUUUUGCUCAGGUUUCUCGUUUCUUCCUGCAGUGGCUGUCUUCCAUCCCUCUCUACCGGCCACGCCAGGAACCACCGCCACAGGAAUUUCAGGAGCCGGUGGGAAAGAGCUAGCUAGCUUACAUGGCUGCCGGUGGGAAAUGGAGCUGGAGCGCCCCCACAUGUGUCGGUCUCUCUCACCCCGGCGCCAUUGCUUCUCCUCGCCUUUAAUAACCAUGGAAACAGAGGAGACCACGUCGUCAUGGCAACAGGGGAAUGGCCUCAGCUUCGGGGCGAGGCUUCCUUUCAGUCGCCCGUAGAAAAAGAAAUGUGGAAGGAACAGCAGCAGGCAGGACGGCGGGCGCCUAAGUUACAUGCAGGCACAGACGUCUGGGGUCCUGAUGUUCACGUGGAUAGAUUAGGACUACUGCAGUCUGACACACAUGCACACACAGCUAGAUAUGGUGCAUCACACAUUCUUGUGUCAUCAUGAGUUUUUGUCUUAUUUUGCUGAGAAAAGUAUUAUUAAAAUAUAUUGUUUUAUUUUUCA